rnacentral:Y_RNA from 1 species
AACUGGUCUGAUGGCAGUGGGUUAUCAAAGCUUAUCACUAUUUAGUGUCACUAAUGUUGGCUUACAAGCCCCCACUACUAAAUUUGAACGGCUUAAA